rnacentral:snRNA from 1 species
GGAUGUGAAAGUGACCUGGUUGCCACUUCGAUCACUCAAUUGCCAGGGUUGAUUCAGCUGACCUGGCUGGUGAGGCAGGUGUCCCUUUCCUCCCUCACUGCUUCACAUAUUUUCCUCCUAAAGCUGCAUGUUGGUCCCCAGUGGAAGAGGAUCAUUUUCUAGUCAAGGGUUUAUGAGUAGCUGUGCUUCCCUACUAGACCUCCAAAGGGGCUCUCAUGUAUCAGUUGAGUGACCCUGGCAACUUACUUUGCCCUUCCAUGCCUCAGUUUCCUCACUCUAAAACACAGAAAUGACAU